rnacentral:rRNA from 1 species
UACGGGGGGUGCGAGCGUUGUUCGGAAUCAUUGGGCGUAAAGGGCGUGUAGGUGGUCUGUUAAGUCAUGUGUGAAAUCCCCCGGCUCAACCGGGGAAGUGCGCAUGAAACUGACAAGCUAGAGUACCGAAGAGGAAGGUGGAAUUCCAGGUGUAGCGGUGAAAUGCGUAGAUAUCUGGAGGAACACCGGUGGCGAAGGCGGCCUUCUGGUCGGAUACUGACGCUAAAACGCGAAAGCGUGGGGAGCAAACAGG